rnacentral:rRNA from 1 species
CCUACGGGUGGCAGCAGUGAGGAAUAUUGGUCAAUGGACGAGAGUCUGAACCAGCCAAGUAGCGUGAAGGAUGACUGCCCUAUGGGUUGUAAACUUCUUUUAUAAAGGAAUAAAACGAGGCACGUGUGCCUUUUUGCAUGUACUUUAUGAAUAAGGAUCGGCUAACUCCGUGCCAGCAGCCGCGGUAAUACGGAGGAUCCGAGCGUUAUCCGGAUUUAUUGGGUUUAAAGGGAGCGGAGAUGGGUUGUUAAGUCAGUUGUGAAAGUUUGUGGCUCAACCGUAAAAUUGCAAUUGAUAAUGGCAGUCGUGAGUACAGUUGAGGUAGGCGGAAUUCGUGGUGUAGCGGUGAAAUGCUUAGAUAUCACGAAGAACCCCGAUUGCGAAGGCAGCUUACUAAACUGUGACUGACAUUGAUGCUCGAAAGUGUGGGUAUCAAACAGGAUUAGAUACCCUGGUAGUC